UGGCCCGCAGUGACACAUAAGCUUAAUUCAGUAAAAUCUGCCAAAGAUAUUGCAGGAAAUUGCCACGUCUACCACAGGGAGAAAGAGAGACAUGCCAUGCAAGACUCUCCAGCCAACAUCAGAUCCAACUUCAGUAUCAGGGCCAGGGAAAUGGACCCUGGGCAUUUAGCAGAGCUAGAUUGGUCUAGGGCAGUGGUCCCCAACCUUUUCGUCUGGCGGGUGCCAGACGAAGGACUGUGGUGACGGUCGAGGUGAUGCCUCUCGAUGACGUCGCUUGUCGGUGGCAAGCGGCAUCAUCGAGAGGCGUUGCCGUCGAAAUGCCGCCGAAUUUCGGUGGUAUUUCUGCGGAUGCUUGACUGCGGGCCAGGACAUGGGCACAUUUAGAUGCCCCCGCAGGUGCUAUGGCGCCCACGGGCACCGUACUGGGGACCCCUGGUCCAAGGAGUUGCUGACUCAAGAGGGAUUCAGCUCAUCUACCUCCCCAGCUGGCAGUGCCCUGACAACAAUAAGAACACGGGAGUCGGUGGCAACUUUCAUCCAGGGAGUCCUAGGUCCCAGUGCCCAACCCUGCCGUCGGAGAAUCUCAGAACAAAAGGAGGAUGCUAAGUGAGUGCAGGGAAGCAGAGCAGCAGGGUGAGAAACCAGCCCUGAGAACCAGCUGUGUGGAGGAUCAAGCCAAUCAGGUGAUGGAAGGAGAGUUCAGAUGUUAGUCAUGAGGGGGUCAGAGUGAUCCCCAAAGAUCCUGCGACACUGGGACCCCCAGUUUUCCCCGCCUCUGACAGGAGGAAUCCCACUCUGAUGCUUCCCAGAGUACCCAGAGCUGUGAGGCACCUCGCCACCACCUGCCCUUAGUGGGAAGACUCCUGGUCUGUGUCUGCUGGGGGUCAGUUCCCUGACCCCACCAGCUACUGGCAACACGAGUGCUCCCCUCUCAGCCCAGCUAGGCUCUGCUGUCUCUCUGCAGGUCAGCAACAGGAACACUCCAACUGUUGAGCCCCACCGUGCAUCCCCCAGGAGUGUCCAGCCCCUGCUUCGCUGGACUCUCACAGCAUUCACAGACCCACUGCUCCCCAUGGAAUAGAGCGCACCAGCAUUCACAGACCCACUGCUCCCCACCGAAUAGAGCACACCAGCUUGCCAGUUUCACCUCAGGAUCACUGCUCCACUUACACACAGCACUCAAAUGAGUCAGAUUAUUUAACAAAGAACAGAGAUCUGAGAAGGAGCAAAGAUAAUUCAUGGAUAUGAAUAGUUACAGCUACAAUAAAAUCAUAACACAUU